CCAGACUCUACUUCUAUUGAGAGACAUAUAAAAGGCUGGUUGAAUGAGUUCCCUAUGAGAGGCUACUUCAUCUGCAAGAAAACAGGCGGCCGCACCAGUUUCCUCAUAUGAAAUUAAAAGGGUCAGUGGUCUAAAAUGAGUCUCUCUGGGGAGAGAGAGG